AAAGAAAACAGGGCUGGAAGGGCACAUUUUGUUUUUUCUCACAUAACAGAUGAGUCCAGUUAUGAUACAGAGGAUGCAUGAAGCCAGCUGUGACCUCCUACUGUCUUGUUGCCUUAUCCUCCUUAGUAUCUGGGGUUUGUCCUUAGGGUCUCAAGACAGCUGCUGCACUUCCACACAGCAAGAAAAGAGAAUGUGUGAUUUGGAUGGUCUGGAGAGACGGCUCAGUGGUUAAGUGUAUACACUGUUUCCGGGAGGACCUGGUUCUGUUGCCUCUGGAUCCGAUACUUGUACUCAUGAGCACACACUUACAGACAAAGCCAUAUAACUUUCAGAAUUUUAAAGGAAAGCGCAGAGAUUAGCAGAUGAAAGGACGUGCUUCCUCCAGCUUCACCUCAAGGGCUCUAGUUGGACCUGGUCUUCUGGACUGUUGGAUAGGAGCAAAGUUUCUGCCAUGAAAGGAUACUCCAGCAGUCCUGUGGAGAGGCCUCCCAUCAACAGCUGGUGCCAACUGGGCACUAUACUCAUGAAGAUGUCCUCUUGCUCCCAGAGACACAAGUAAUUAAACAACAGCAACAAAACCUCCAAAACAACAACAACAGACCCAAACAAACAGGGCUGAAAUGGUGGUUAAAAGCAAUUGGCUGCUCUUCCAGAGGACCUGGGUUUGACUUCCAUUCACAGCUAUCUGUAACUCCAGUUCCAGGGAAUCUGAUGGCCUCCUCUAGCUUCUGAAAGCACCAGGUAGGUACAUACAUGGUAUACAGACAUACAUACAAGCAAAACAAACAAAACACAAAACAAAACCCCCCUCAAAACCCAUACACAUAAAGUAAUAAAAUAAUUUAAAAAGUAAGAAACAAAUCUCUAAUUUUACAUUGAAAAAGAAUCCCAUUUCUUUUAAUUUUUGUUGUUGUUGUUACUUUUUUUUUGAGACAGGGUUUCUCUAUGUAGUUUUGGUGCCUGUCCUGGAUCUCACUCUGUAGAUCAGGCUGGCCUUGAACUCACAGAGGUCCACCUGGCUCUGCCUCCCAGUGCUGUGAUUAAAGGCGUGCGCCACUGCCGCCCAACUAUCUCAUUUCUUAAUAUUAAAAAGAACUUUAGUUGAGGCGAUAGCUCAGUAAACACCUUUCCAUGCAAGCAUAAGGGCUGAAUGUGAUCCCCAAAAGGAUAGGUGUUGCUCUGUAACUCCAGAGUGGGGGAGAAGCAGAAACAGACAGAUCUCCUGCUUGUGGGGCCAGCUAGUUUAACUUAACUGAUGAGUACCAGGCCAGUGAGAGGAUCUGUCUCAAAAAAGCAAGGCUGGGGACCAGUAAGAUGGCAGAGCAGGUAAAGCGAUUUGCUACUAAGCCUGACAACCUGUGCUUGAUCCCUGGACUCAGCAGGGUGGGUGGAGAGAACUGAUCCCUGCAAGUUGUCCUCUGGCCUCCAACUGCAUGGCAUAAGCACACGUGUACACAAAUGAAUUAAAUAAACAAAUAGUAUAAUAACAGUUAAAUAAACACACACAUACACACCAAGAUUGGCAGCUCUUAAGGAAUGACACACUCUGGCCCCUACCCAACAUGCUUAUACAUGAAUACACACAUACAACUUGUGCUGAGGAUGUAGGCAGGCAAUUAACUAGCACAGCAGAGGCCUUGGGCUCUGAGCUCAGCAUGGGGCUGGAAAGCUCCCUUGUGUGUGUGUGUGUGUGGGAUGGGGUGGGUGAUCCUUGCAUAAAUAUGGAAAAAGAUAAAAACCAAAAGACACAAAAAGCCUGGGGGGCGGGGAACGGAGAUUACAGAUUGGCUUUUUAAGCACAGAGGUGACAAAAGUAUAAAUUAGAACAAGUUAAUAAAGCCUCUGAUAUUAGAGAUGUUUGAGAAUGGAGGUGACAGUGUGUGGGAAACCCUUGGCAUGCUUGUCAGAGUCAUGCCUCCUCAGGCCUCUGGUAACUUCACUUGUAAACAUUUAAUCCAAGAGACAUCCUCACUGGUUUGGAAACUUCUAUGAUAGAUUAUCCAUUUGCUGGCACUUGGGUUAGAAACAACGUUGGGUUCAUUAAGUGCAGCUCCUCUCAAGUGUGAUAUUAUGCAGCCGUGAGAAAGGACAAGCAAGGCAGGAGGCUAGGGAGAUGGCUCACUUGGUAAAAAGCUUGCUUGAAAAAGUGAGGACCUGAGUUUGGUACCCAGAACCUAUGUUUUCAAAGCCAAGCAUGAGGAUGCGUUUGUCAUCCUAGCACUGUAAUACUGGGGACUGGGAGACAGGCACAGCCCUGGGGCUUCUGGGCUAGUCAGCCUGGCUUAAUGAGCAACUAUAUCUUAAAAUAACAAAACCAAACCAAACCCCAAUUAGAUGGCACCUGAGGAAGCACAGCUGAAGUUGACCUCUGAUUUCCACAAACAUGCACACACUCACACACUCAUGAUCCCCCCUUUCCACACACAUACAAGAUGGCCAGGUGCAGUGGUAUCUGCUUGCAUCCCCAGUAGUAGGGAGUCUGAUGCAGGAAGAUAGUGAGUCCAAGGUCAUCCUGGCCUCCAUAGCAAGACUGUCUUAGACAAGCAAACCAAAGGAAGGUGGUAAGAAGUGCCAGCCUGUGACUAUCAUAAAAAUCCUGGGAGCUGGGCAUUUUCAAUAGUUACCUUAAUGGCUACAAGGAAGAAAGAGAGAAAGAAAGAGAAAUAACAACAACAACAACAAACCAACCUAAAACACUUAGAAAUGUUUACUUCCAAGACUCCAAGUGUCACUGGAAAUUUAGGGGGUUCUGGUGGAGUCACCACACAUUACUGGGGAAAUUGAGGUUCUUUCUUGGGCUUCUAGUCUUGUUAAUAAAAGAAUUUGAAAAGGACUCAGAAGAAAGCUCAAUGACAAUUUUAUUAAAGCUUAAAAUAAAAUGCAGAUCUUGUUUUGCCAUGUUUGGUUGAUAUCCCUGGAGGCCUGCUCUUUUCUGAAGGGAAACAGAGGAACAUUGGAUGAGGGAUGGAAUGCUGGCCAAGUCAAGGAAGAGCAAGAGAGAAACCAAUGUCAGCAUGGAGGUCAGCCACACUGCAGAUAAGCACCUCAUGUCAGGGAGGGGGUGCUACAGAAAGAGUAAAGCCCAAAGUUUUAGGGAAAGCCUGCUAAGAAAAAAGAUAUG